rnacentral:rRNA from 1 species
UGGGGAAUAUUGCGCAAUGGGCGAAAGCCUGACGCAGCAACGCCGUGUGAGGGAUGAAGGCUUUCGGGUCGUAAACCUCUGUCGGAAGGGAAGAACGGGUGAGGGUCUAAUAGGUCUUCAUUUUGACGGUACCUUUAGAGGAAGCACCGGCUAACUCCGUGCCAGCAGCCGCGGUAAUACGGAGGGUGCAAGCGUGAUUCGGAAUUACUGGGCGUAAAGCGCACGUAGGCCGCUUUGUAAGUCAGGGGUGAAAUCCCACGGCUCAACCGGGGAACUGCCCUUGAAACUGCAGAGCUUG